rnacentral:rRNA from 1 species
AAGCUAGGGGAGCGAACCGGAUUAGAUACCCGGGUAGUCCUAGCCGUAAACGAUGUCCGCUAGUUGCUUGAGAGUAAUCUUAGGUGACGAAGGUAACCCAUUAAGCGGACCGCCUGGGAAGUACGAUCGCAAGAUUGAAACUCAAAGGAAUUGGCGGGGAGGCGCACAACCAGUGGAGCAUGUGGUUUAAUUCGAUACAAAGCGAAGAACCUUACCUGGGUUUGACAUCCAGCUUUUUCCUGCUUUGGAAACAGAGCAAGGGUCUGCCUUUGGCAGAAAAGGCUGGACAGCUACUGCAUGGUUGUCGUCAGCUCGUGUCGUGAGACGUUCCCUUAAGUGGGGUAACGAGCGCAACCCCUAUCCUGUGUUGAAUUUUCACAGGAGACCGCCCCGCCGUUUCUGGAAACAAAUCUUUUUGUUUGGCUAUUUUUAAGCUUUUCUAAAAAAAUACCAACCGGUAAGAUUUGUUAAUAGAAACGGCGGGGAGGAAGGUGGGGACGACGUCAAAUCAGCAUGGUGCUUAUGUCCAGGGCGACACACAUCCUACAAUGGGGAGUAACAAUGGGCUGCCAAGCCGUAAGGCGGAGCUAAUCCCAGCAAACCUCCUCUCAGUGGGGAUUGAGGGCUGCAAUUCGCCCUCAUGAACGCGGAAUUGGUAGUAAUCGCGGAUCAGCAGGCCGCGGUGAAUACGUUCUCGCCUCUUGCACACACUGCCCGUCAAAUGAGCAAAGUCAGGGGUAGCUGAAGGCUCCCUGCCGUUUUAGGCGGGGGGACGAAGCUAAACUUGGCGAUGAGCGUUAAGUCGUAACAAGGUAUCCCUACUGGAAGGUGGGGACG